UACGUAGGGGGCAAGCGUUGUCCGGAUUUAUUGGGCGUAAAGAGCUCGUAGGCGGUUUGUCACGUCUGCUGUGAAAUCCCGAGGCUCAACCUCGGGCCUGCAGUGGGUACGGGCAGACUGGAGUGCGGUAGGGGAGAAUGGAAUUCCUGGUGUAGCGGUGGAAUGCGCAGAUAUCAGGAGGAACACCGAUGGCGAAGGCAGUUCUCUGGGCCGUAACUGACGCUGAGGAGCGAAAGCGUGGGGAGCGAACAGG
rnacentral:rRNA from 1 species